GACGAACGCUGGCGGCGUGCCUAAUACAUGCAAGUAGAACGCUGAAGAGAGGAGCUUGCUCUUCUUGGAUGAGUUGCGAACGGGUGAGUAACGCGUAGGUAACCUGCCUUGUAGCGGGGGAUAACUAUUGGAAACGAUAGCUAAUACCGCAUAACAAUGGAUGACACAUGUCAUUUAUUUGAAAGGGGCAAUUGCUCCACUACAAGAUGGACCUGCGUUGUAUUAGCCAGUAGGUGAGGUAAUGGCUCACCUAGGCGACGAUACAUAGCCGACCUGAGAGGGUGAUCGGCCACACUGGGACUGAGACACGGCCCAGACUCCUACGGGAGGCAGCAGUAGGGAAUCUUCGGCAAUGGGGGCAACCCUGACCGAGCAACGCCGCGGGAGUGAAGAAGGUUUUCGGAUCGUAAAGCUCUGUUGUAAGUCAAGAACGGGUGUGAGAGUGGAAAGUUCACACUGUGACGGUAGCUUACCAGAAAGGGACGGCUAACUACGUG
rnacentral:rRNA from 1 species